rnacentral:snRNA from 1 species
CUGAUCACUUUGGCAUCAGAUUUACUAAAACUGAGAUGAUACAGAAAAGAUGAAUAUGGACCGUAUGCAAAGAUGACAUGAAAAUUCAUGAAAUAUUCCACAUUUUA